AUUUACUCAUUCACCAUUUUUCUCUGUGAUUAAUCACAUACAUGUUUGGGUGACGCAUUAAGAUUGAGCUAAAAUUUAGCCCCCAAAAUAACCUAACGUCUAGGCUAAAAAAAUAAAUAAAAAAUCAGUGCGGCUAUGGAAAUAUUUAAAGAGACCAGAAAUUCAUAUAUUAGAAACAUACCGACGUCAACUUUUACUUAUUCUAGCAAUGUCACCUUUUACAAUGUCCACGAGUGAAAGGUCUUUUUAAACUUUAAUAAGGAUUAAACCGUAUUGAGAUGCCGA